AGAGUUUGAUCCUGGCUCAGGAUGAACGCUGGCGGCGUGCCUAAUACAUGCAAGUCGAGCGAACAGACGAGGAGCUUGCUCCUUCGACGUUAGCGGCGGACGGGUGAGUAACACGUAGGUAACCUACCUAUAAGACUGGGAUAACUUCGGGAAACCGGAGCUAAUACCGGAUAAUAUUUCGAACCGCAUGGUUCGAUAGUGAAAGAUGGCUUUGCUAUCACUUAUAGAUGGACCUGCGCCGUAUUAGCUAGUUGGUAAGGUAACGGCUUACCAAGGCAACGAUACGUGGCCGACCUGAGAGGGUGAUCGGCCACACUGGAACUGAGACACGGUCCAGACUCCUACGGGAGGCAGCAGUAGGGAAUCUUCCGUAAUGGGCGAAAGCCUGACGGAGCAACGCCGCGUGAGUGAUGAAGGUCUUCGGAUCGUAAAACUCUGUUAUUAGGGAAGAACAAACGUGUAAGUAACUGUGCACGUCUUGACGGUACCUAAUCAGAAAGCCACGGCUAACUACGUGCCAGCAGCCGCGGUAAUACGUAGGUGGCAAGCGUUAUCCGGAAUUAUUGGGCGUAAAGCGCGCGUAGGCGGUUUUUUAAGUCUGAUGUGAAAGCCCACGGCUCAACCGUGGAGGGUCAUUGGAAACUGGAAAACUUGAGUGCAGAAGAGGAAAGUGGAAUUCCAUGUGUAGCGGUGAAAUGCGCAGAGAUAUGGAGGAAACCAGUGGCGAAGCGACUUUCUGGUCUGUAACUGACGCUGAUGUGCGAAGCUGGGGAUCAAACAGGAUUAAUACCCUGGUAGUCCACGCCGUAAACCGAUGAGUGCUAGUGUAGGGGUUUCCGCCCCUUAGUGCUGCAGCUACGCAUAAGCACUCCGCCUGGGAGUACGACCGCGAGGUUGAAACUCAAAGAUUGACGG
rnacentral:rRNA from 1 species